CAAGUCGAACGAUGAACCUUAGCUUGCUAGGGGGAUUAGUGGCGAACGGGUGAGUAAUAUAUCGGAACGUGCCUUGUAAUGGGGGAUAACUAGUCGAAAGAUUAGCUAAUACCGCAUACGCCCUGAGGGGGAAAGUAGGGGAUCUUCGGACCUUACGUUAUAAGAGCGGCCGAUAUCUGAUUAGCUAGUUGGUGGGGUAAUGGCCUACCAAGGCUUCGAUCAGUAGCUGGUCUGAGAGGACGACCAGCCACACUGGAACUGAGACACGGUCCAGACUCCUACGGGAGGCAGCAGUGGGGAAUUUUGGACAAUGGGCGCAAGCCUGAUCCAGCCAUUCCGCGUGAGUGAAGAAGGCCUUCGGGUUGUAAAGCUCUUUCGCAAGGGAAGAAAACUUACAUUCUAAUAAAGUGUGAGGCUGACGGUACCUUGAUAAGAAGCACCGGCUAACUACGUGCCAGCAGCCGCGGUAAUACGUAGGGUGCGAGCGUUAAUCGGAAUUACUGGGCGUAAAGCGUGCGCAGGCGGUUUGGCAAGUCAGAUGUGAAAUCCCCGAGCUCAACUUGGGAACUGCGUUUGAAACUGCCAGACUAGAAUAUGUCAGAGGGGGGUAGAAUUCCACGUGUAGCAGUGAAAUGCGUAGAGAUGUGGAGGAAUACCAAUGGCGAAGGCAGCCCCCUGGGAUAAUAUUGACGCUCAUGCACGAAAGCGUGGGGAGCAAACAGGAUUAGAUACCCUGGUAGUCCACGCCCUAAACGAUGUCUACUAGUUGUUGGUGGAGUAAAAUCCAUGAGUAACGCAGCUAACGCGUGAAGUAGACCGCCUGGGGAGUACGGUCGCAAGAUUAAAACUCAAAGGAAUUGACGG
rnacentral:rRNA from 1 species